GACGAACGCUGGUGGCGUGCUUAACACAUGCAAGUCGAACGGAAAGGCCCUGCUUUUGUGGGGUGCUCGAGUGGCGAACGGGUGAGUAACACGUGAGUAACCUGCCCUUGACUUUGGGAUAACUUCAGGAAACUGGGGCUAAUACCGGAUAGGAGCUCCUGCUGCAUGGUGGGGGUUGGAAAGUUUCGGCGGUUGGGGAUGGACUCGCGGCUUAUCAGCUUGUUGGUGGGGUAGUGGCUUACCAAGGCUUUGACGGGUAGCCGGCCUGAGGGGGUGACCGGCCACAUUGGGACUGAGAUACGGCCCAGACUCCUACGGGAGGCAGCAGUGGGGAAUAUUGCACAAUGGGCGGAAGCCUGAUGCAGCAACGCCGCGUGCGGGAUGACGGCCUUCGGGUUGUAAACCGCUUUCGCCUGUGACGAAGCGUGAGUGACGGUAAUGGGUAAAGAAGCACCGGCUAACUACGUGCCAGCAGCCGCGGUGAUACGUAGGGUGCGAGCGUUGUCCGGAUUUAUUGGGCGUAAAGGGCUCGUAGGUGGUUGAUCGCGUCGGAAGUGUAAUCUUGGGGCUUAACCCUGAGCGUGCUUUCGAUACGGGUUGACUUGAGGAAGGUAGGGGAGAAUGGAAUUCCUGGUGGAGCGGUGGAAUGCGCAGAUAUCAGGAGGAACACCAGUGGCGAAGGCGGUUCUCUGGGCCUUUCCUGACGCUGAGGAGCGAAAGCGUGGGGAGCGAACAGGCUUAGAUACCCUGGUAGUCCACGCUGUAAACGGUGGGUACUAGGUGUGGGGUCCAUUCCACGGGUUCCGUGCCGUAGCUAACGCUUUAAGUACCCCGCCUGGGGAGUACGGCCGCAAGGUUAAAACUCAAAGGAAUUGACGGGGCCCCGCACAAGCGGCGGAGCAUGCGGAUUAAUUCGAUGCAACGCGUAGAACCUUACCUGGGUUUGACAUGGAUCGGGAGUGCUCAGAGAUGGGUGUGCCUCUUUUGGGGUCGGUUCACAGGUGGUGCAUGGCUGUCGUCAGCUCGUGUCGUGAGAUGUUGGGUUAAGUCCCGCAACGAGCGCAACCCUUGUUCACUGUUGCCAGCACGUUAUGGUGGGGACUCAGUGGAGACCGCCGGGGUCAACUCGGAGGAAGGUGGGGAUGACGUCAAGUCAUCAUGCCCCUUAUGUCCGGGGCUUCACGCAUGCUACAAUGGCUGGUACAGAGAGUGGCGAGCCUGUGAGGGUGAGCGAAUCUCGGAAAGCCGGUCUCAGUUCGGAUUGGGGUCUGCAACUCGACCUCAUGAAGUCGGAGUCGCUAGUAAUCGCAGAUCAGCAACGCUGCGGUGAAUACGUUCCCGGG
rnacentral:rRNA from 1 species